ACAGGUACGUGGGCGGGCGGAUCGUGGUGGCUGCGCUUGCGAGCACCCUGAGGUAGAUUGGGUGGUUUCAGCAGGAACGCAUCCACUGUCUGAGAGUUUAAACUUGAUUUUGUGAGGGGACGAACAGCGUGACAAUUAAAGAAGAUCUAGGAAUCAAAAGCUUCCUGAGGCCUUCACCAGAAGCAGAUGCUGGUGCCGUGCUUCUACAGCCUGCAGAACUCAGAGCAACUGGGAACCUAAUUCUGACCAACAAGGAGGAAUUGUUUGGCUAAUUGGAAGUGACAGAAACCUUGGGAGAAAGCAACCGCAUACCAAGGAUAAUUAUAAGAAGGUAACAUGGGCCCUAAAGGAUAGUGUCAAGAAACCUGAAACCCCCAAAUGAGGUGAGACUUGCAAAAAAUGCUAAGGAAGGACAAAAAACAGGCCUUUUAAAAUUCUGUUCAGAACCAGAAGAUGAUCAAGAAAGGGAAAUGCCCACUAGCAGCUUCUACUGUAAGGUUAGAGCUGACAGAGAAAGAACUCCUUAACUACUAUUUGCUUCAUUCUC
rnacentral:antisense_RNA from 1 species